GGCAACGGUAAAUCUAAAAGCUCAAGGAACUCAACCCUGUCGUUUACUUGGGGUUAUUCUCCAAAACAUUGUCACCCUUCAUGGCACGGAUAAACUGUAUAUCCCUCCUCGGUUUAAAGCUCUACAUCAAUCUUGGGUUCCAGAGUUAGAUUACCCAGGACAUCUUUAUAAGGACGAGAUGGAGAAUAACCACGGUGGAGAGCAUCAAUACUUCCUUCGCUCAUGAUUUUAUCUUAUAUAUGUAAAGACUAAUUGCUGUCAUAUCCCAGGCUCGAAGACCUAUACGGCGAUCAGGAUUUUGAGAAAACGAAUCCUCUGGCCUAUCCGCUAUUGGG
rnacentral:sRNA from 2 species